AUCUUGCGCAAUGGGCGAAAGCCUGACGCAGCCAUGCCGCGUGAAUGAUGAAGGUCUUAGGAUUGUAAAAUUCUUUCACCGGGGAAGAUAAUGACGGUACCCGGAGAAGAAGCUCCGGCUAACUCCGUGCCAGCAGCCGCGGUAAUACGGAGGGAGCGAGCGUUGUUCGGAAUCACUGGGCGUAAAGCGUACGUAGGCGGUUUUGCAAGUCAGAAGUGAAAGCCCAGGGCUUAACCUUGGAAUUGCUUUUGAAACUGCAAAACUAGAGUCCCGGAGAGGUUGGCGGAAUUCCGAGUGUAGAGGUGAAAUUCGCAGAUAUUCGGAGGAACACCAGUGGCGAAAGCGGCCAACUGGACGGGAACUGACGCUGAGGUACGAAAGCGUGGGGAGCAAACAGG
rnacentral:rRNA from 1 species